UAUACAUCAAUUAUCAAUAGUGCUCAAGUAUUAAUAAUGAUUCUGCUUUAUAUUUCAAGAUUCUUUGAUAAAUAGAAAGUUUAAAAGAACAGAAUUUAUUCAAAACAGAAUUCUUUUGUAACAUUAUAAAUUGACACUUUUGAUCAGUUUAAUGCAUUUUUUUACUUUUGAAUUGUAUCACAAUUCCCACCAAAAUAUUAAGAAAAAAAGUGUUUUUCAACAUCGAUGAGAAAUAUUUCUUGCACACCAAUAAACUUCAUGAGACAUGGGUUUUAAGUUUUAAUAAAUAGUAUGUUUUAAUAUAAUAUAAACAAUAUACAAAUAUAAAGCAUACAAAAAAAAAAUAUAUAUAUAUAUAAUAUUAGCAUAAAAAAAAAAAAAAAAAUGUUCUUAUAGUAUUGGUUGCUUCUUGUAAGUUAAAUUUAACUUAAAAUAUCUUUCUGCAGGAAACAUCCAACAUCAAAUGGAACACGAAUUUACAUUGGACUGAAACCAAACACAGAGAGUGGGCUCCUCACUUCAGAAGUCCACCACACACCACUCCCCUGAACAUAUAAAAAUAAUCCACUCUGAACAACUUUCUUUUACCCAUUUUCCCCACCCUCUCAUGCCUAGCUGUCUCCAACACUCCAACCCCCCAGUUUCUCUCCGUCUAUAGACCUCCUCCUGAUUCUCUAAUGAUGACAGUGCUUCAUUAGGAGCCACAGAAGUAUACAGAAGUAGUCUCUCUCUCUCUCUCUCUCUCUCUCUCUCUCUCUCUCUCUCUCUCUCUCUCUCGCUCUUUCUUUCUCUACACACACACACACACACACACACACACACACACACACACACACACUGAACCUUCCCCUUCUUUUUUCCUGCUGUUUUUACAGGCCAGUGGCACCUCUUUAUUUUACAACAGCACACAGUAGUCUAACACAGCUCAGAUCAGAACUCAAGAAUCUGGAUUCAAUAUUCAGGGUGAACACAAAUCCUGUCUCUUUCAAAGCCAGUAAGUGGGACAACCAGGAGAACGACAAUCAUUUUCCAAAGAAUACCAGCUGGUUUUAGUGCAUAACAGUGGUUUAACCAGGUGCAAAGUCAUACAUUUUGCCAGUAAAUGCUGAAAAUGUAAGUAUAAAAAUACAUUUCGUUGUAACUUUGCAACUACAUGUCAACUAGCUGUCAUUAGAGUAUUAGUAGACUGUCUGCUUCAUUUCUGCUGACACUUUAUUUUGAUACAACAGACAUUCUACUGACUAUAAGUAACUUUGCAACUACAUGCCAACUUAUUCUAACCCUAUCCUGAAAGUCUACUAAUACUCUAAAGAUUUUGCAUCACUUUUGUCUUUGAUUCUGAAAUUGUAAAGCCCAGUCAGUGACAACUGGCCAAUUCACAUGACAUAUCUGCAUGAAAAUAUGAGAAGGACUUUUUUUCUGUUUUAAGUUCAAAUACAUUAAGUUACUUGUUUCAUUUGUGUUCACUACUUUCACUGUUUACUGUGUGCUUCCUUUUACUUCCCAGUUUUUUGUUACUUAGCAGUCUUGUAAAAUUGCCCUCUCCAUGACGCUAUCCACAUUGCGCUUCAUGUGGAGGUCAAAGUGGCAUACGACCUUUGUGUGGAAAGGUGCAUUGAAGCCCUGACAUGAGUCAUAUGAAAGAGACUUUACAGCUCAGUGUGACUGAUACACCCUUCCCAUUUGUGUAUAAAUGACAUAAUAUAAGAUACGGUUCAACAUUUACAGGGAUAGUUCACCCAAAAAUGAAAAUUCUGUCAUCACCUUCAUGUCAUUCCAAACAUGUAAGACUUUCGUUCAUCUUUGGAACACAAAUGAAGAUAUUUUUAAUAAAAUCUGAGUGAUUUCUGUCGCUCCAUAGACAGCUUCGUAACUACCACUAAACUGAAGCUCAACCAAACCUGCUUGAAGUGCGAGAACAAACCUCUUGCAGAAACUCACAUAUGCUGCGUAACAUGAGAAUGAACCUCAUUGGUUCUUGUGGAAGAUCAAACAUGCUGCUUAAUACAAGAGAAUGAACCUCAUUGGUUCUUGCAGAAGCUCAAACGUGCUGUGUAACAUGAGAACGAACCUCAUUGGUUCUUGCAGAAGCUCGAACAUGCUGUGCAACACGAGUAUGAACCUCAUUGGUUCUUGCAGAAGAUCAAACAUGCUGCGUAACACGAGAAUGAACCUCAUUGGUUCUUGCGGAAUCUCAAACAUGCUGGGUAACAAGAAUGAACCUCACUGGUUCUCGAGGAAGCUCAAACAUGCUGCGUAACAUGAGAAUGAACUGCAUUGGUUCUUGCAGAAGCUCAAACGUGCUGCGUAACAUGAGAAUAAACCUCAUUGGUUCUUGCACGUCAAGUGACAAUGCUUGAGCUUCCGUUCACCACAACUGAUGUGUGAGUUGGUGAAUGUUUAUAUGUGAAUAAAAGCCUAAAUUAAACCUGUUCAUCAUAUAAAGUGAUUGUGUCUCUUCAGAAAAUUUGGACUAAACUGCUCAAUUCAUAUGGAUUGGUUUUAUGAUCUCUUUAUGAACUUUUUGAAGUGUCAAAAUGGUAGUUGCUUAGCUGUCUAUGGAAGGAAAGAAAGCUCUCAGAUUUCAUCAAAAAUAUCUUAAUUUGUGUUACAAAGACGAAUGAAAGUCUUAGGGGUUUGGAACAACAUGAGGCUGAGUAAUUCAAAAAAAAAUGUUUUUUUGGGUGAACUAUCACUUUAACUAUGAAGAGCUAACAAAACAAUUUCAUUGUAAGCAUCUACUUGACGACUCGAACAGCAGAUUUUCAUCGCUCCUUCAAUGGAUUACUCUAAGAAGCAAAGUCCACUGUCUGGAGUGUGUCUGUUGACAAGUCCGCUGGAUGACCUGUGGAAAGUAUACCCAAAAACAAGCACUCAUGGGCCAUGUGAAGGGGGAUGAUAUACAGGCACCAUCGAGGCUCGUCUGACCUGGCCUGCCGCUCGUGUUGUGUGUAGUCGGAGCGAGAGAGAACGAGGAGACGAUCAUGUCCUCUCUUGGAGAAGUGCUAAGUUGGACAGGGAAAGGAAUUUUUUGUGGUUUAUUCAGAGAGCGGCUCCAUCUGUGUAAACUGGCGCUUGCCAGGAUGUCGACUCCCUCGCUUUCUGCACAGACACAUGCUUAACCCCUUCAACACAUUCUGCUCACGAUACCUGCUGCUCACAAACUACUACACAGCUAAAAAUAUAAUAUUUAAUUGUAGCUUUAUAUUAUAUAACUUUAAGUGUAAUAUUGAAUACCACACUACAAUUAAAAUUAUAAAUCAAGUACUUUACAAGUACUUGAGUAUUUUAGUAAACGCAUUAAAACCAGUGUACUUAUUUAAAGCACAGCAAAACUUUAUUAAAACAAUGAUUUAUAUGUACUUAAAGUAAAACUUUAAAUUUGACAUUAUAACAAAGUGCACCUUUUAAAAGUUAUACAUUUAAGAUUUGAAGUACACUACAAGUGCACAUUCAGUACAUUAAGCACUCUUCUUUUUCAUUGACAUCAUUGCUUAAAAGAGUUUCCUUACAAUAAUGUAUUGACAACCAUAGUUUCUGAUAAAACAUCAUAGUUACAAGUAUGUUGCUACAAUAAAGCUAUGCUAACUUACUAUUAGCCACCACUGUCAUCACAAACAGAAAUUAUACAAAAUGAUAGAAAGAUUUUGAAGCUGAAACUGUUUGAAGGACAUCUCAUAAUUACAUAUUAUCAUUUAGUAGUAACUAAAACUGUUGCCAGGGUCAUUUUUGUAAAUGUUUUUGCUAAAUAGUGUCAGGCUAAAGCUUUUUUUGUUUUCUUUUAGCGUCCUGCGAUGGUAAAAUGAAGGCAGUUCAAAGAGGUUAUGAUUCAUUCUCUGAGUCACGGGGCUGUCCCUGGCACACUGACUGGAAGCCUCUAGUUUAUGAGUGGAGCUGGCGCUCUGCCCAGCCCUAUGGCUGCUCUGCCUCUCGUCCUGCAGUUAACCCCUUACUGGAUCAGCUGUGCUCCACACUUAACCCUUUACUGACACUUUACGUCAGUCUGAGCCAGGAACCUCAGUAAGAGCACUCUUUGAUCCUUGAAGUCGACAUGAAAUAAAAACUUCUGCAAUCAUUUAGUCCACUUAAAUCCUGCCCCUGCAAGUUUGUGUUCAUCUGCCUCUAUUUUUGAGUGCAACAUUCAGUCAGCAACCAAUACACAGAACUAAAUCCCCACCCUACUUUCUUUUAUUCUUCUUUUGAUAGUUUGUUACGCUCAGAUGUUCAUCACAACAUGGAAGAGAAUUUGGUAGCACUUUAUUUCACUUUAGACAUUCUACUAACUAUAAGUAACUUUGCAACUACAUGUAAACUAACUCUCAUUAGAGUAUUAGUAGACUGUCUGUUUAAUAUCUGCUAACACUUCAUUUUGAUGCUCCCCAACAGACAUUCUACUGACUAUAAGUAACUUUGCAACUACAUGUCAACUUAUUCUACUGACCCAAGCCUACAGUAACAGUUUACUAUAGUCUACUAAUACUCUAAUGAUAGUUAGUUGACAUGUAGUUGCAAAGUUACUUAUAGUUAAUAGAGAGUCUAAAGUGGACCAUUGAAGUAGUUUAAACGAAAAUUCAAUAAUCAUUUACCGAAUGUCAUUCCAAAAAUGUUUCUUUCACAUAACACAAAAGGAGUACAUUCAGAGAGACAGUUUUCUAUGCAGUUAAUAAACAGUGACUGUAGGCUUUUAAGCCUAAAAAAGGAUGCCAAAGUGCCACAUAAAAGUAUCUCAUAUGACUUGUGUUCUAUAUCUGAAGUAAUAGUUUUAAAGUAUGUAAAGAACAAACCCAAAUUAAUCUAGAAUAAUGGUGUCAUUGAUGUGUUUUUUGAUCACAGGACCAGUAACAACCAAUGCCGUUUGGUCUCACACCAUUUUUUAGUCACAAGAGCACAAGUAAAUGUAGACAAAAAUUACUUAAAUUAUUGCAUUAACAGCCAUUAAGUUAAUUUUCUUAGUUCCUUCAGCACAUUACUUCAAAUGUUUCUCUUCAGUGCAACUCUUCCAUCAGAAAAACAUACAUUAGUAAGAAUCUUUAUCUUGUCAUAUAUAAUUUUGUUGUUGUUGUUUAAUAAGAGGUCUAAAGCAUAUUACAUUCAGAAUUGAAAUGUAAGUUAAAUUCAUUACAUUUCAAUGUAGAAAAUGUACAAAAUAAUCACAAUUUCUACUUUUUUGGAAACUUCAAAAAAAAAAAAAAAAACAUGCAAGAAACUUGGUGAAGGGCUUUUAAUCGAGUUGGUAACUGAAUUCAAAUUUAGCUUCAUUUUCAAAUCAAUUUUUGAACCCCAUCUGCUUUCCCAGACAUCUAAUCUUGAAUUUAUUUCCACCCAGAUUUAUGACAUGAAUACAUCAGGAAGGGUUGGAACACCAGCAAUAACCAAACAUCCACUUCUUUAACUAACCAAAUUUAUAGACCACAAGGUUAGUCUCACUUCUUUCUUCCUCCUAACUCAGAGUUUCGUUUUUUUUUUUUCUUUUAUUUUGCAACCUAUACUUUGAAAUUGGCCUGAAAAUGAAAGUGAAAACAGUUGAGUUUAUUAUUAUGAGUGCAGAAGUUAUUUGAACUUUGGUAAGAAUAAAUUCAGAUAUUUUGGUGUUCCCAUGUCUUUUUUCCUCGUAUGGAGUCAUAUGUGAGCAUGAUGCUCAUUAGGUUUUUGCAUCAUUCAGAAUCGAAUUGAGAAUUUAUUUUGAAAUCCAGUUUGAUUUUGAACUUUUGAAUUUGAAAUUGAAAUUUAAUUUAACUCAUGUUUAAAUUCUAAUUUAGUAUCCUGUGUAGCUGAACAAAAUAGAUACAAUUAAUUGCUGUCUUAAGAUGUUUUUCUUGUUUAUCUUGUUUCUCUCGAAAAUACAUCCCAUUAUGUUUUUAUCAUUAUGAUUAUUACUAUUAUUUUUGACAUUUACUCAUGUGUGCUGAAUCAGGCAUAUGCUUACGAAUUAAACAUUGUCACUCUCUCUGUCACCGUAUCUUUCUCUUCAUCUCUCGUCCCAUCAUGUCAUUAGAUCAUGCAGAUAAAAGGGUUUUUUUUUAGAAAAGAUUUCUAAUAAAAUACUCACAGACACACUCUACACAAAUCCACCCUUAAUUCUACUGAUCUUAAUCACCAUCCCAUGAUUUAUUGAGCAGAGGUGCAAGCCAGGACAAGAUCCAAAGAUUCCCUAAUAAUGUUGUCUAUGAGAGUCCUGUAAGUGUGUAGGUUUGCUAUAUACUCUAUUCAAUAAACUGAGUAGUUGUGUAGUCAAGCUUCUACACUCUUAAAAAAUAAAAUUUCUUCUAUGGCAUCACUGCAAAAAAACAAAAAAACUUUUGGAACCUUUAUUUUUAAGAGUGCACCGAGCGACAGACGAAUUUGAGCAACCUUAACUGAACAAAUGACCAUUAACAUAACAAAAGUUCCUCACUUUUGUAGUGAAUGAUUGUGAUGUUGGGCAGCAGAACAUGGCUGUGAAAUCUAUUUCAAUCCCAAACCUACAAAUAACAAGGUCAGGAAUAUCAGAUCAAGAUAGUGCCCAAGAGAUGUGAGUUCCAUAUAGGGUGAAUUCAGAGUGGGAAACAUUUUGCCAUAGAGAUGACUUGGAAAAAAGUGUCCCAAUCAACCUGAAUUCACCCUAUUCGUUUUCUCAGCAGCUUAUAUAAAAAUAACUAUAAUAACUACAGAUGAACCUACCACUAAA